GACCAUUCUAACCGGCGCCAUCUAGGCGGGC
rnacentral:sRNA from 1 species